rfam:Bradyrhizobium lablabi strain CCBAT 23086 scaffold57, whole genome shotgun sequence.
GAGGGCAGGCCCCUCGACUCGGAUUGCAGGAUCAGAGUCCAAACCGCCACAAGCUGCUUUAGCUCAAUGGCUGAAGUGGUGAGCGUUGCUGGAAAAGGCGGGCAAUCAGCCUGUCAGGU